GGGGAGAGAGAGAGAGAGAGCGAGAGAGAGAGAAUGAAUGCAGUUUGCAGUCCUGCACUGUGGAAUUACAGCAAAGCAAAUUUGUAGGGACUCCAAAAAAAAAAAAAAGAGGGGCACGCGAGUGAGCGAGGAAGGACCAGUUGUCAGUCUUGACUGAAACGUUGAAUCCACCUCAGCGAAGAAUACAGGAGGAGAAAGGGAAGGGGAGAGAGAGAGAGAGAAAGAGAGGGGGGGGUCAUUCGUGUUUUUCUUAUUCCAUCUCCGGAACGGCCUGAAAAAGCCAGUGUCAUUGCAACUGCGCUUCACUCACCUCUCCCCAGCGUCGGCGUGCGCUCAUAAUAGCGGUCCUAUUGGUAUUCCAGCGACGGUUCCCCGGGAUCUCUCUCUGCUCCCUCUCAGGAUGAAAUCACAGUGCCGGAAUUGUGCUUGCCUGUGGAGAAGGAACUGAAAUGGGGCUCAAGCCUCCUUGUACUGUCAAUCUGUUUUGGGGCCACUUCCACCUGUUCCAGGGGCCACACUUCCCGCCAUGGGGCUCCGCCCCCGCAUGCUAACCGCCAGCACCCCCAGAGACCCCCCAACUCCCUCAGACCUCUCACCGCACUGAUACCUCACAAGGGAGCCGGAACCAUACAAACCGAAGG